GAUGAACGCUGACAGAAUGCUUAACACAUGCAAGUCCACUUGAAUUUGGGUUUUUAACUUAGGUUUGGGUGGCGGACGGGUGAGUAACGCGUAAAGAACUUGCCUCACAGCUAGGGACAACAUUUGGAAACGAAUGCUAAUACCUAAUAUUAUGAUAAUAGGGCAUCCUAUAAUUAUGAAAGCUAUAAGCGCUGUGAGAGAGCUUUGCGUCCCAUUAGCUAGUUGGAGAGGUAACGGCUCACCAAGGCGAUGAUGGGUAGCCGGCCUGAGAGGGUGAUCGGCAACAAGGGGACUGAGACACGGCCAUUACUCCUACGGGAGGCAGCAGUGGGGAAUAUUGGACAAUGGACCGAGAGUCUGAUCCAGCCAUUCUGUGUGCACGAUGAAGUUUUUCGGAAUGUAAAGUGCUUUCAGUUGGGAAGAAAAAAAUGACGGUACCAACAGAAGAAGUGACGGCUAAAUACGUG
rnacentral:rRNA from 1 species